GACGUAGGGCGCGAGCGUUGUCCGGAUUUAUUGGGCGUAAAGAGCUCGUAGGCGGCUUGUCGCGUCGACUGUGAAAUCCCGCGGCUCAACUGCGGGUCUGCAGUCGAUACGGGCAGGCUAGAGUUCGGUAGGGGAGACUGGAAUUCCUGGUGUAGCGGUGGAAAUGCGCAGAUAUCAGGAGGAACACCAGUGGCGAAGGCGGC
rnacentral:rRNA from 1 species